UGGGGAAUAUUGCACAAUGGGCGGAAGCCUGAUGCAGCGACGCCGCGUGGGGGAUGAAGGCCUUCGGGUUGUAAACUCCUUUCGACAGGGACGAAGCGUAAGUGACGGUACCUGUAUAAGAAGCACCGGCUAACUACGUGCCAGCAGCCGCGGUAAUACGUAGGGUGCGAGCGUUGUCCGGAAUUACUGGGCGUAAAGAGCUCGUAGGUGGUUUGUCGCGUCGUCUGUGAAAUUCCGGGGCUUAACUCCGGGCGUGCAGGCGAUACGGGCUGACUUGAGUGCUGUAGGGGAGACUGGAAUUCCUGGUGUAGCGGUGAAAUGCGCAGAUAUCAGGAGGAAUACCGAUGGCGAAGGCAGGUCUCUGGGCAGUAACUGACGCUGAGGAGCGAGAGCAUGGGUAGCGAACAGGAUUAGAUACCCUGGUAGUCCAUGCCGUAAACGGUGGGCGCUAGGUGUAGGGGGCUUCCACGUCUUCUGUGCCGUAGCUAACGCAUUAAGCGCCCCGCCUGGGGAGUACGGCCGCAAGGCUA
rnacentral:rRNA from 1 species